AAAUGUUCAAACACCGGAUCCUGGAGGAAAAUCUGAAUGCUUCAAAAAUUGAGAUUGAAUUGAGGUGCAGUAACAUGAACCAGUAUGUAGCUCAAAAAAUUGCUACUUUAAACAGGAAGAGAUUGAGAGUCUAAGUGCAUCGAGAUCGGUUGUGGAACAUGACCUAUCAGCACGCCAAGUGGAGAACCGACCUAAGCCUGUUAUUUUAGAAAAGAUUAACAAUCAUCUUACUCCAGAACCGAGGUUUAUCAAGAAAGUCCGUCAGAGAAUUCUUUUAAAAAAGUUCUAUAACCUCCAGCAGUAAUAUAUCUCAACACCUGGCAGCAUUCUCCUUCUUUUGUGUCUGUGUGAGAGAGCUUUGUAACACGUUGCCCCCACUCCCCUCCACUGACAAUCUCCCAAAGUCGUAUGUUUGUGUAUUACGGAGAUGUGCUCAUUACAACAGCAUGAAGCGAAAUGACACGGCACAUCCAAUUGUGCACGAAUCUAUCUAUGCUACAAACUGUGGAAGGAGAAAUGGGUUUCUCCUCUUCAUGUUAAAGGUAAUAUCUCACAGACUUUAGUGUCAUUGACUUUUUUGUUGGCGAUUAAGAAGGCACUGGCUGAUGAUUCAUUCAUAUGUACAAUAUGAAGUAUUGUAAAGAUUUAUGAAUAAAGUGUUAUAAUUUUUAAUGAA